rnacentral:rRNA from 1 species
ACUCAAAGGAAUAGACGGGGGCCCGCACAAGCGGUGGAGCAUGUGGUUCAAUUCGACGCAACGCGAAGAACCUUACCCAGGCUUGAACUGCGAGUGACCAUCGGCGAAAGUCGACUUCCGCAAGGACACUCGUAGAGGUGCUGCAUGGCUGUCGUCAGCUCGUGUCGUGAGAUGUUGGGUUAAGUCCCGCAACGAGCGCAACCCUUGUCCUCUGUUGCCAUCAGGUGAUGCUGGGCACUCUGAGGAGACUGCCGGUGAUAAACCGGAGGAAGGUGGGGAUGACGUCAAGUCAGCAUGGCCUUUAUGUCUGGGGCUACACACGUGCUACAAUGGCCGGUACAAACCGUCGCGAUCUCGCGAGAGGGAGCUAAUCGGAAAAAGCCGGUCUCAGUUCGGAUUGCAGGCUGCAACUCGCCUGCAUGAAGUCGGAAUCGCUAGUAAUCGCGGAUCAGCACGCCGCGGUGAAUACGUUCCCGGGCCUUGCACACACCGCCCGU